GUGCUCGCUUUGACAGCACACACACUAAAAUUGGAACACUACUGAGAUUAGCAUGGUCCCUGAGCAAGGAUAACAUGCAAAUCCAUGAAGUAUUCCAUAUUUUU
ensembl:snRNA U6 U6 spliceosomal RNA